rnacentral:misc_RNA from 1 species
UUGCAAAGAAUUCCAUAUAUACUAUCUCGAAAAGUAUGCAAACCAAAUAAAACAAACAUCCAAAGGAUCUCACACCCUAAGUUGAACCACUUCACCAAUGGUUGGACCCAUAAAUCGAGUAAAGAAUCAGCAUUCAACCUGUGAUUUAACUGGUUGGGUAGUUCCAGCAAAAAUCUGAAAAUGUGAAACCCACGAUGAAUCCAAAGUUCUUAUGGUAAAUUACAAAAAUACCCAAGUUUUGCCUUAAAAUACACUUUGAUACCUAUUGUUUCAAAAGUAGCACUUUAAUCUGUUUUUCCAUGACUCAACAUUUUAGUCAUUGAUUAUAUAAUUACAAAUUUUUUCACUAUCGCCCUUUACAUUUAUGUUAGAUAACAAUUCGGCUCCACAAGUUCAAAAUUUAGUCG